AAUCGAAUUGUUUGUCAUGCAUAUAUUGUUUUCAUGGUCCUUUAAAGAUUUGUAGAACGUGGGAGGUUCCAUCGACAAAGCUUUCGGACGAAGGUGGUGUUGAUGAGAACAGAACGAGGUUUGGAAAGUAAAUCUUCAUCUUCAACAAUGAAAAGGAGGAAUAAGG